rnacentral:rRNA from 1 species
GACGAACGCUGCGGCGUGCUUCACCCAUGCAAGUCGAACGGAAAGGCCCUGCUUUUGUGGGGUGCUCGAGUGGCGAACGGGUGAGUAACACGUGAGUAACCUGCCCUUGACUUUGGGAUAACUUCAGGAAACUGGGGCUAAUACCGGAUAGGAGCUCCUGCUGCAUGGUGGGGGUUGGAAAGUUUCGGCGGUUGGGGAUGGACUCGCGGCUUAUCAGCUUGUUGGUGGGGUAGUGGCUUACCAAGGCUUUGACGGGUAGCCGGCCUGAGAGGGUGACCGGCCACAUUGGGACUGAGAUACGGCCCAGACUCCUACGGGAGGCAGCAGUGGGGAAUAUUGCACAAUGGGCGGAAGCCUGAUGCAGCAACGCCGCGUGCGGGAUGACGGCCUUCGGGUUGUAAACCGCUUUCGCCUGUGACGAAGCGUGAGUGACGGUAAUGGGUAAAGAAGCACCGGCUAACUACGUG